UCCUCUUUGUUAAGAUCUGUAUAAAGACAAUGAAGUAAUUGGCUUGUGGUUGCCUUUAACUAAAAUCAUGGUGGAGACUGAUUUAGAUACAGUGAAGCACAUCUCGUGAGACCACUUUGUUCAAUGUUGGUUUCUAGGAAGGAAGCUGUGUCAGCUGCUAAGCCACCCAGCAAGCACAUCUCUUGAUGACUAUGGAGUAGCACACUUUCGAGUUGCAGAAGAGCCAUGUGAGGGGUGGAUCCCACCAUCUUCACCUCACCCUGGGUACACACAGAACCCAGUGUGAAUUUGGGCCAUGUGGGGUGUUAGUACAUGGAAGGGAAGUAUCACUCAGAGGGUGCUGUUUAAAAGACUUAUCCUUGACAGAGAUUUGUGAACAGUCAGAUACAUGAACUUGAGAACUGCACACCUACCCAGAAAUUUCUGCAAAAGCUCUCUGCUGUUGGAAAGUCCUGUCAUUGGAAAGUGUUUCUUUUGUAAAAAUCAUCUGUGAAAUAAAGUCAAACUGUCUUUGUUCAACCAGGCAAUCUGCACAGUUUUUAAAGCCAGAUUCAGAGGAAGACAUGAAACAAGGCUUCCUCAGUCAGGCCAAACCCUACUCUCGGUGCUGUGCCUCAGUGGACUCCCUGGACAGAGCAGCUGUAGGUGGUGGUGCGGCCUCUGUGCCUUCCUGGAGUGUGAGGCUUUCCUGGCUUAAGCAGCAAGAACGUCAGCAAGGAGAACAAGAUAGAAAUGGACUCAAGAAUAGAGCAAAACCCUUUGAUGACAUCUUUGCACCUUUCAUGGAAAGUAAGAUGUCCUCUGAUUCACCUCGGAAGUCUUCAUUUCUCAAGAAACGUGGCCUUUGAAGUUGCUUGGCUCCUCUCCUGUGAAAAGGAGGCUAGAAUUAAGUAGCAGUGCUACACAGAAACCUUUGGAUAUGGCCAGCAGAGUUCUGGAUGCUUUGGAUAAUCACAAUUUGAGUAUCAUUGAAGAACAUGUAAUGAAACUCAGCCCUUUUAAUUAGAGGUAACAACAAGAGCUCAAAUAAGGCAAUGCAAGUACCACCCAACCUAAGCAGUGGCAGAGCUGGGGCCAGUGGUCCACUGACUCCAUGGUCAGGCUCCUUGUGGCACAGACACUGCCCCUGAGGCCAGCUGGACUCAUGGACUUGGCUCACGCAACUGGUCACAGGCAUUUCUGAAACAGCAAGAUAUUUGCGUUUACCUUCCUAUGGGAGCAAGAGUGCAGAGUCAACAUUUGCACUUACAGUGCUUGUGUCAGAGCACACACUCAUCCUUCCACUAACGCAGUUAACUGCUGAUGGACAUGUAUUAUCUAAAUGCAAGACAAUGGGCAGAACCUGAGCUCUUUCAUGUCUGAGGAUUUCAUUUUGGGAACCAACUGCUCUGACCUCCCAAGGAGUUUCCAAGUCAAAGGUAUGCCAGGCCUGAAGACAGAAAAUUAAGGCAGCCAUCUCUGCAUGAUUCACAUACAUGUAUCACAAAGUUAGUACGUACAAGACCCGUUUCUUGGCAUUCUGGGGCAUGGGAUAGUAUUGGGGCUGUACUGCAUCACUCUGCUUACUUACUUAAUCUUUGGUCACAGAGCAGCAAACCAGCCAGGGGUCAUUUUAAUUCUGAAAUUUAGAAGAAGGAAAUGUGACUCCAAUUAAGUGGUUUGUUCAUGAUCUUUAGAAAGUAAAAGUAAUUGAAGCAAUGAAAUCACUGACUGCACUCUGUGGCUGCGUGGUUCAUUUUGAUUCAGUUCUGCUGCAGCCCAGCCCAUCUGGCUCUGUGGUGUACACCUUCAAGUCCUGGUUACUUCUAUUUUGCUUUAACCCCUGGGGUGUUCAUUGGUAAAGAAUCUACUUGGGAUCCCAAGUCCUUCCCAAGUCUUACCUUUCAACAUUUCACUGAGGAUUCUGUGGUGAUAAAGAAUCACUUUAUAAAAUUUUUUAAUAGCUUUUGUUAAAAAAAAUCAAAUUUAACAAGUGAUUGGUUAAGGUUUUGUUCUUAGGCAGAUAAGUUUUCCAAGAAAUAAGAUCUUCAUCCCUCUACAUCCCCAGCACAGAAAAACAAUGAUAACAACAAAAGCAAAGCACAGCAAAACAAAAAAGAUAUGUUAUCUAAUGGGGCAUUGUUUUCCUUAUCCAGUCAUUUGGGCUGACUUUUUCUAGUUGGGAAGUAUCUGAGUUUACAUACACUUUCACACACACACAUCUAAUGAUGCUUCAAUGUUGCAAAGCUUUUCAGUUGCUCAAAAAUUUUAAGACAUACCAUCCAAAAGAAGGUUGGUUCUACAAUUGAGGAAGACUUGAAGGCAUGGAACAGGAGUCUGGAAGGCCCUGAGGGAAUUAUUCUGAAGAGUUCUCAGAGGCUGGUAAACAGAGUUUCAUGCCUCCUGCAGAGAAUGCUGAGCUACAAGGCAGAACGUCCGGCUCUGUGUAUCAGCGGGAACCUCACCUGCCUACAGACACCUCUCUUGUUGCCUGUGCAUGCUUGAAGCACUCUGUAUCCUUGUCUGUCUCUCUGGUAUCCUUUUCUUCUUUUUCCUCUUGGAAAUAUAUUUACUUAAUAUAUUUUUUAAUUAACAGUUUGAAAUUGUGCAUAUUUACAAGCUAAAGUUUGACCUAUAAAUAAAUAUAUGAUGUGAAAUGAUCAGAUUAGGGUAUUCUUAGUUACUUCUCUCUCAUUGCUUCUCUCUCUCAUUAGUUACUUCUCUCUCAUUACUUCUCUCUCAUUGACAAAUACCUGAUACUCAAAAUGAAGGAAGAAAGGUUUAUUUAGCUCCAAGUUUGUGGAAGUUUCAGUCCAUAACCAGCUGUCUCCAAAGCAGGGUGGCAUGGCAGAGGGCAACAGUUCUUGGCAGUGGGAGACAGCACAAGCAAAAAGAGCAAAAAUGAAAGGAGAGAAAGCCUCUUUUCCUCCCUUGUAUUUUAAGCAGGAUAUCUACCCUAUGGUAAGUAGCACUCACACAGUCUUCCUGCUCUUCUCCUACAUAGGCUGAGCACAUUUACAAAGUGAGGACCCUAGCCCCUUGCUGAGCCAUUUAGUUAAACUUCUAAACUUCUCAAGUAGAUAUAAGGAAUCAGCCAUCACAACAUCCUAGGGUGUAAACAGCCCCCAGGGCAUGCCCUCUACACCCUAAAUUGUAGAAUUGCAGAGUCACUUAUUCAAGCUUCUAAAUUUCUGAAGAUGACACGAUGUAUCAACUAUUACAGGGUAGCUGGCAUAGAUUUCAC
ensembl:lincRNA